GAUGAACGCUGGCGGCGUGCCUAAUACAUGCAAGUCGAGCGAACAGACGAGGAGCUUGCUCCUCUGACGUUAGCGGCGGACGGGUGAGUAACACGUGGAUAACCUACCUAUAAGACUGGGAUAACUUCGGGAAACCGGAGCUAAUACCGGAUAAUAUAUUGAACCGCAUGGUUCAAUAGUGAAAGACGGUUUUGCUGUCACUUAUAGAUGGAUCCGCGCCGCAUUAGCUAGUUGGUAAGGUAACGGCUUACCAAGGCAACGAUGCGUAGCCGACCUGAGAGGUGGAUCGGCCACACGGAAACUGAGACACGGUCCAGACCCCUACGGGAGGCAGCAGUAGGGAAUCUUCCGCAAUGGGCGAAAGCUUGACGGAGCAACGCCGCGUGAGUGAUGAAGGUCUUCGGAUCGUAAAACUCUGUUAUUAGGGAAGAACAAAUGUGUAAGUAACUAUGCACGUCUUGACGGUACCUAAUCAGAAAGCCACGGCUAACUACGU
rnacentral:rRNA from 1 species